rnacentral:rRNA from 1 species
UACGUAGGGGGAAAGCGUUGUCCGGAUUUAUUGGGCGUAAAGAGCGUGUAGGCGGCCGUACAGGUCAGCUGUGAAAACUCGAGGCUCAACCUCGAGACGUCGGUUGAAACCGUACGGCUAGAGUCCGGAAGAGGAGAGUGGAAUUCCCGGUGUAGCGGUGAAAUGCGCAGAUAUCGGGAAGAACACCCGUGGCGAAGGCGGCUCUCUGGGACGGUACUGACGCUGAGACGCGAAAGCGUGGGGAGCGAACAGG